UCCCCUUACUGAGGUCUUGAUAUGCGUGGAGGAGGAGUUCAUCAGCACCGACAGUUUUGGUAAUAGCGAGUGUGAUUGGAGGAUGUUGGGCCUCUUUCUCUCUCAUUAAGAGGAUGCCUGUACGUCUGUAUCAUCAAAGCGGAGAAGCUUGUACUGGGUGUUGAGUUAAUCAUGCUGAGGAUGAUGGGAAGAUGCCUGACACUCAUUUUACUGUCUUCAGUUAAAAUACUCAUCACAGCUGACCGUGUGAAUUUGAGGCUGGUUGGUGGUCGCAGUCGC